UUUCUGCUCGAUAUUGAAUAAUAGUCUAAAAGAAAUGUGGAAAUCCAGAAUAUUUUUGGAAUUUGACGGUUCGGAUAUAAAGCAGAUUAUCGGGAGCAGGUCGAAGAUUCAGAAAUCAAGGAAACUGAGUUACAAGUUAUUAACUCAUUACAAGAUCGUUGUAAUAUUAGAUUAGCCGAUACCAACGUGAAAAAAAUCUUCAAUUAAAUGUGAAAUGAAAGAACUAUCCUUUCCCUAAUAAUAAUGUAUGAAAUAAAAUGACAUAAAAUUGGAUAUAAUGUCAAAUAACAAAUAUUACAUAAUUAAAAGUGAACAUCUCAGUGAUAUUUGAUGUAAUUGUUUAUUUUAAUCCUUUGAAAUAUUUAUUUUAAAUAUGAUAAAAUUUAAUUAAAUUUUAUCUUUAAUAGUAUUUUAUAAAUUAAAUUUAUAAAAUAAGCGAGCGGUAGUAAUAUAUCUUUAUAGAAGCGUUUCAAAGGAUCAUGAUAUCGAAACAGCAUUUAAAAUGUUGGUAUCGACGUAUUUUAUAUGCUGACUCGAAUAAUUAAAUAUAUUGCAUUUGUUUUUUUUUUUUUCUUUUUUUUUUUUAUAUAAUAUUAAAGUAAUUUACGGCGAAAAUAAAGCUCUAUGCAACUUACGAAUAUAAUUACCAUCAAAAUGUAAAUUGAAAUAGCUGGCACAUAUACAAGGCUUUCCAAAAACAUCACGUUUCACAAUAACAAGCUCCUCUCUGCCUUAAAACGGCAAUACUCGCAUCGUCUCUCUCCUUCCAGUUCUUUUCUUCAUCUAGUUUAGCUAUCAUAUUACUUUUAAUACAUUCUCUCUCCCAUUUUUUAAUUUUCUAGAAAGUGUAGUUUCCCUGGUAUCAUUGUGAUCAUUUUUCCUCUCAUAUUUUUUUUAAUGUGUAUUCAGCACCAUAUAAUUUCAAGAAAACCUUCGCGUAAAGUAUACGUUUUCUUUUUUUUUUUUAUUUUCUCGUCUCUGUACCCGUCUCGAGUGCACCCUGUUGGCGCAAUUCCAAAGUCGCCGCACUUUAAGGCAAUUGCUUGACGACACUGCAAUAUGGUCGAAGAAUAUCAAAUCUGCUGAUUUAUUGCAGAAAAGAUACACUUCGACAUGUACAGUACUAUGUGAUCGCAUAUUCUUCAUUAACACGCAAAUUCCGUGCGUUAUUAAUAUAUUUCACAAAUAUUUCACGAAAAAAUAAAUCGUUAAAUAUAUAUAUAUAUAUAUAUAUAUAUAUAUAUAUGAAACGUAUAUGACGUAUUAACACGUAAAUUCGAUUUUUUUUCCAAAAUUAAUUAUACUUUCGCACGACUGUUGAAUAUGAAUUUGUGCAUUAAUGUUUCAAGUCGCGCAUAUACUGUACAUAUCCGGUACCGUAAAAAUAUCACAAAGAAAUGAUUAUUUGAACAAUCAAUAAAAUGUAUUAAUUUAUAUUGCCAGACAAUUAGUUAAUAUAGAGUUAAACAUUACCUAGUAACAAAAAUUAUUCGUUUAUUGAUUCGUAUAUAAAUAUAAACAUGGAAAUAAAGGGAGAAAAUGCAAUGUAUAAAAUAUACAAAUGUAGUACUAGGAAGUAAAUCAUACUUAAAAACAAAUUUUUCAAUUUUAAAUUUUACUCAUUCAACAAAAUUGAUACGGCAGUUAUUACACAAAUAAUUAUUUUAAAUUCUACACACAUUUUUGGAUUUUUCUUAUUACGAGGAAGAAUAAAUAAAACAUAAUAAUAAUAAAUAAAACAAGAUCUUAUAACAUAAUAUCGAGUAUAAGAAAAUAAAUAUAUAUUAUUGUUAUUAUUCUUAAUCACGUUGAUCGUUCUUCGAUUAUUUCGUUGCGUGCAAUAUACCUUUUCAGAAUGCAUAAUUCCAUUUCAUGGAUAUUAUAAGUUUCGUAUUUUCCAGUUGUAUGCAUUCGUUUUAAAAUUUACAGAAACACGUAAUAAACAAGCAUGUUCUAUAUUACAUUGGAGACAAUAUAGAAUUAAACAAAAAUAAAUAUAAAUAAUACUGUAAAAGACUUACAUCAUAUAAGUACUAAUGUUCUCCGCAAUUAUUCAUAACAAUAUUAAAUAUUUUAUCAUUGAAUUACUUAUGACAAAAAAAAAAAAAAAAAAAAAAAAAAAGAAA